AAAUGUGUUAGUUCUCUGGUGAAUCCAGAAAGCCUCCCAAAGCAGGAGCAUGGGGCUGUGCAGCCAGCAGGGCUGGGAUGCCUCCUCUGCUCUAAUGGUGCUUGUUAGCCAGAGACGGCAGCAGCUGGCCUGAGCACGCCGUCAGAGGGCACUGAGUGGAGCAAUAAGGCAGAGGAGAGAAGCCGGAUCUGCAGUAUUUGACCCCACAGCUCCCCACCAUGCAUGUGUGCAGCUGCCUCCACCACCAAGUUGCAGAUGCUACCAUGAUGCCAACCUGACUUCUCUGGACAGACGACCUCACCAAUGUGUCCUGAAAACCUACUUCCCCAGAGCCCUACCCCACUAGGGAAAGAUAAAAACAGCCUGGAGGUAUGGAUGGACCUGCCAAUGCCCAUGUCCUGCAGAGAAGCAAUUACAGAAGAUCCACAUAAAGAUCUUUGGUCCAUACUCCCAGAAGGAUAAAGAAUAGGGACAGUUUCAAUGGAGAGGAGGGCAUAUGGAACUCUGGUGGUGGGAACUGUAUGGAAUUAUACCCCUUUUAUCCCAUAAUCUUGUCAAUCAUUAUUAAAUCACCAAUAAAAGUUAUAUAUAAAAAAAGAAAGAAAGGAAAAAGAAAACAAGGAAAAACAG